rnacentral:rRNA from 1 species
GACGAACGCUGGCGGCGUGCUUAACACAUGCAAGUCGAACGGAAAGGCCCUGCUUUUGUGGGGUGCUCGAGUGGCGAACGGGUGAGUAACACGUGAGUAACCUGCCCUUGACUUUGGGAUAACUUCAGGAAACUGGGGCUAAUACCGGAUAGGAGCUCCUGCUGCAUGGUGGGGGUUGGAAAGUUUCGGCGGUUGGGGAUGGACUCGCGGCUUAUCAGCUUGUUGGUGGGGUAGUGGCUUACCAAGGCUUUGACGGGUAGCCGGCCUGAGAGGGUGACAGGACAGAGUGGGACUGAGAUACGGCCCAGACUGCUACGGGAGGCAGCAGUGGGGAAUAUUGCACAAUGGGCGGAAGCCUGAUGCAGCAACGCCGCGUGCGGGAUGACGGCCUUCGGGUUGUAAACCGCUUUCGCCUGUGACGAAGCGUGAGUGACGGUAAUGGGUAAAGAAGCACCGGCUAACUACGUG